rnacentral:misc_RNA from 1 species
GAUGAAGAACGUAGCGAAAUGCGAUACGUAAUGUGAAUUGCAGAAUUCAGUGAAUCAUCGAAUCUUUGAACGCAUAUUGCGCUCUCUGGUAUUCCGGAGAGCAUGCUUGUUUGAGUAUCAGUAAACACCUCAACUCCCUUUUCUUUUUUGAAAUUGGAGCUGGACUUGAGUGAUCCCAACGCUUUCUUCCAAGAAAGUGGCGGGUUGCUUGAAAUGCAGGUGCAGCUGAACUUUUCUCUGAGCUAUAAGCAUAUCUAUUUAGUCUGCCUAAAAAACAGAUUAUUGCCUUUGCUGCAGCUAACAUAAAGGAGACUAGUUCUUGUGCUGACUGAUGCAGGAUUCACAGAGACAGCUUCGGCUGACUUUGUAAACUCGAUCUCAAAUCAAGUAAGACUACCCGCUGAACUUAAGCAUAUCAAUAAGCGGAGGA